GUCAAUGGCCUAACGGCUGAACCAGCAAUUUGAAAGAAUGAAUAUAAUUAACGAGGAAUACGUAUAAAUUUCUAGCUAAGAAAAAACAACGAUCUUUUUUAACUAUAAGUCUUGGCCAAAUUACGUGCCAGCAGUCGCGGUAAUACGUAGAAGACUAGUGUUAUUCAUGUUUAAUCGGUUUAAAGGGUACCUAGACGGAAAAUCAAGCCAGUAUUAUAUGGUACUAAUUUUCUAGAGCUUUAUGUAAGAAUAUCGAAUUGUUAGAUGAGAGAUAAAAUUCAUUGAUACUGACAAGACGGGUAACAGCGAAGGCGCUAUUCUAUGUAAAAACUGACGUUGAGGGACGAAGCCUUGGGUAGCAAUAAGGAUUAGAUACCCUAGUAGUCCAAGGAGAAAAUUAUGAGUGCCAUAGACUAGUAAAUAUUAGUUUAUAAAUGAAAGUGUAAGCAUUCCACCUCAUGAGUAAAGUGGCAACGCCGAAAUUGAAAUCAUUAGACCGUGUCUGAAACCAGUAGUGAAGUAUGUUAUUUAAUUCGAUGAUCCGCGAAUAACCUUACCACGUUUUGAAUUUAUAGGAAUAUAACACAAGCGUUGCACGGCUGUCUUAAGUUAAUGUCGUGAGAUUUAGGUUCGUUUCUUUAAUUAACGAAAACCCCUGUUUUAAUUUAAUUUAAAGCAAUCUUCCGGUAUAUCUGGUUGA
rnacentral:rRNA from 1 species